rnacentral:rRNA from 1 species
GUGCCAGCAGUCGCGGUAAUACGGAGGGGGUUAGCGUUGUUUGGAAUUACUGGGCGUAAAGCGCGCGUAGGCGGAUUGGAAAGUUGGGGGUGAAAUCCCAGGGCUCAACCCUGGAACUGCCUCCAAAACUUCCAGUCUGGAGUUCGAGAGAGGUGAGUGGAAUUCCGAGUGUAGAGGUGAAAUUCGUAGAUAUUCGGAGGAACACCAGUGGCGAAGGCAGCCCCCUGGGUUAACACUGACGCUCAUGCACGAAAGCGUGGGGAGCAAACAGGAUUAGAUACCCUGGUAGUCCACGCCCUAA